UACAGAGGUCCCGAGCGUUGUUCGGAUUUAUUGGGCGUAAAGGGUGCGUAGGCGGCGGAGUAAGUUGGGUGUGAAAUCCCGGGGCUUAACCUCGGAAUGGCAUUCAAUACUGCUUCGCUCGAGUACUGGAGAGGAGGCUGGAAUUUACGGUGUAGCAGUGAAAUGCGUAGAUAUCGUAAGGAAGACCAGUGGCGAAGGCGGGUCUCUGGGCCGAUACUGACGCUGAGGAGCGAAAGCGUGGGGAGCGAACAGG
rnacentral:rRNA from 1 species